rnacentral:lncRNA from 1 species
GGCUCUCUCAAAGUCAGGCUUCAGGGAUCCAGACUCCGUGUAUCUUGUGGCUCUACCACCUUCAACUUGUGAUUGUUAAGGUCACAAUCCUCACUUGCAUCAAGGUGGUGAAUGUUGCAAGAACAUGACGGACAGCUAGUGGGAGGUUUUGCAGAUCAGGUUGGGAGCUGGCAUGCAUCACUUGUCACAUUUUGUCGGCUGGAAGUCAAGCACGUGGGCAUGUGUAACUGCAAGGACGGAUGGGAAAUGUCUCCGAGCUUUGUGCCCUGAAGAACAAGGACAGCCUUUUUAUUAAAGACCCUUCUUCUUUGGCAGCUGUUUGGGGGAAUGCAGCAAUUGGGCUCAUUGUGCCUGGACACCAGCCCCAGCCUCAGCUCACCAAUGGAGCUUGUGAAAAGUGUCUCAAGCAGUCUGCUCAGCCCAGGACUGGAGUACCACCCUGGGUUUGGCUUUGGCAGGUACAGCCCAGAAGGAGCUGGCAGCACAGGAGGAAACCUUCUCUAACCAGCUAGGGAGGGCCACAUCCAACGUGGAAGCUUCCCUAGAGGGGGACAUCUACCAACUCAGACAAUGACUGGAGGCGAAAUGGGCUGCUUCCAUUGUUUGCACGCAUAAGUAUAGUUCCCACAGUUGAGCAAUGGAAACCAAGGGAGUAUCUGCGCAACAGGAGAUGUUGACUUCAGUUUGCAUUCUCCACUGGUGCCCCUAGGCUCCUUCUGCUGUCACUCCCCACUCUCAAGAAUUCAAUGCCAGGAAUGUAAAUUGGUGCAGCCAGUAUGGAAGAUGGUGGAGAAACCUGUGGAGGUUCCUCAAAAAAUUAAAAAUGAAACUACCAUAUGAUUCAGCAAUCUCAUUUUUGGGUAUAUAUCUGAAAGAAAUGAAAUCACUAUCUUGAAGAGAUAUCUGCACUCCUGUGUUCAUUGCAGCAUUAUUUAUAAUAGCCAAGAUGUGGAAAUGACCUAAGUGUCCAUCAUGGAUGAACGGAUAAAGAAAAUGUGGCAUAUAUAUACAAUGGAAUAUUAUUCAGUACUAGAAAGAAGGAGAUCUUGCCAUUUGUGACAAGAUGGAUGAAACUUGAGGGCAUUAUGCUAAGUGAAAUAAGUCAGUCAGAGUAGGACUAAUACUGUAUAAUCUCACUUAUAUGUAGAAUCUAAAAAAACCUGAACUCAUAGAAACAGAGAGUAGACUGGUGAUUGUCAGGGGUGAAGGGGUGGAGGAAAUGGGAAAAUGUUGGUCAAAGGGUACAAACUUCCAGUUAUAAGAUAAAUAAGUUCUGGGGAUCUGAUAUAGAGCAUGGUGACUAUAGUCAAAAGUCCAGUAUUAUAUACUUGCAAGUUGCUAAGAGAGUACAUCUUAAACGUUCUCACCAAAAAAAAAAGGCAAAUAUGUGAGGUGAUGUGUUAACUGAUCUUUUU